rnacentral:rRNA from 1 species
UACGAAGGGGGCUAGCGUUGCUCGGAAUCACUGGGCGUAAAGGGCGCGUAGGCGGCCAUUCAAGUCGGGGGUGAAAGCCUGUGGCUCAACCACAGAAUUGCCUCGAUACUGUUUGGCUUGAGUAUGGCAAGAGGUUGGUGGAACUGCGAAGUGUAGAGGUGAAAUCGUAGAUAUUCGCGAAGAACACCAGUGGCGAAGGCGGCCAACUGG